rnacentral:rRNA from 1 species
GGGGAUCGAAGAUGAUUAGAUACCAUCGUAGUCUUAACCGUAAACGAUGCCGACUUGCGAUUGUCCAAUGGUUGUUUUAGCCGUGGGCAGCAGCACAUGAGAAAUCAAAGUCUUUGGGUUCCGGGGGGAGUAUGGUCGCAAGGCUGAAACUUAAAGGAAUUGACGGAAGGGCACCACCAGGAGUGGAGCCUGCGGCUUAAUUUGACGCAACACGGGGAAACUCACCAGGA